AACUUGCCAACGGCCUUUGAUCAGCAGGGACUAAAAACACCUAUAGGUACGGCGGCCAUCCUGCUACAGCCUCUCCUAAUGGCCUGACGGACAGAGCAGGGUUGUCCUUGCCCUCUGUAACUCCCUCCCUCCCGAGACGUGGCUGGAGCUGGGCACUGUCUGCACGUCCUGUCCACCCAGGAAAGGGCCGGCUUUGAGCGCCUGUCGUCAGAGGCUACCGGGUGUCCUGUGUCACCAGAUGGGCCAAGCUCCCUGUCAAGGACAAAAUGUAUCCGUUGGAGGGAGAGAGGAAUAUUGCAAGGUACACAGAAGAGCCGAUGGGAGUGAACACCCUCACAACAUUGCUGCUAAAGUCCUGCAAAAUAGCUGGCCCGUCGCAGAUUUACACAAACCACUGCCUCCGAACCACCAUGAUCCGGAAACUGUUGGAUGCUUGACCAGAGGCACGAGAAAUACUGUCUAUCAGAGGACACAGAUUCACAACGUCUCUUCAAAGUUACUGGAGGCCAAAUCUGGAAGUGAGGAAGCACCGUUCUUCAACAACACAGCAGCUCCCCCCCCCCCCCAGCUACAAGAACGGCAUCCAUUUCCAGCAGCGUGGAGCCAACACGACAACAUGGGAAAGCCAACAACAACCAUUUUUUCAUUUGUGCACAAUUAAAUGGCAACACUCAGAUCAACAUUAAUAAAUAAUUGGAAUGUGUUAGUCACUCUAGAAGUGGCGAUAAUGCUUUUUUUGCAUACAUUUAAUGUAAGCUUGCUAGCUAGCUUGUGAUUAUGUUUCAUAGCAACCAGUCUAGCAAUAAGACUUGUCUGGACUACUUCAGGCAAAAUGUAUUUAUUUUGAAUUAUUAUUAAAGCAACAUUUUCAAUCUAGA